UUCAACUAUGAGGAAUUAUUCUUACUGUUAUGCUUAUUAAUCUCUGCAGGUUAGUAGGUGUUGCCGGUUGAAUGUGUUGUUGCUAAUGUGUUUGCUGUGAAACUGAUAUGAGCUAUUGCCACCAGGUUGUUCUGUUAUGAACCUUGUAGGGAAUGUUGGCUUUAAUGUUGCAGCAACAAGUCUACAUCCCAUCACGGUUGACACGGAUAAGAUAUACUCUGCGGAUCUUUCCAUCAAGAUCAAGAGAGAACAAACCCGAAUGACAAAUCUUGAAUCUCUUCAUUGGCAGCGGUAACCGUGUUGUCGGGACAAAAGCUGCUAUUUGGACUUGAUAAUGAUGUGUUGAGGUCCUUGGAAGAUGCAGGUUUGGCAAUCGUGCUGUUUGGAAAAGGUGGAUAUCAUUUGGGUUGAAAUUCGUUGGACAGCUGGAAGUUCGGUUGGAAUUUGUUAUGAUUCUAUUCUGAAUUCAGUUGAAAUUUGGAAAUUCGGUUAGAUGUUGGUUUUUACUAAAGUUCUAUUAGUGAAGUGAUUUAGAAAAUGCUGUUAGAUAGUGAAUUAUUCCUUUGUGCAGUUAGUGUUGUUAUGAAUAUUGUUAAUUCUGUUA